GGGCUUGCAGUGGGUACGGGCAGACUAGAGUGCGGUAGGGGAGACUGGAAUUCCUGGUGUAGCGGUGGAAUGCGCAGAUAUCAGGAAGGAACACCGAUGGCGAAGGCAGGUCUCUGGGCCGCAACUGACGCUGAGGAGCGAAAGCAUGGGGAGCGAACAGGAUUAGAUACCCUGGUAGUCCAUGCCGUAAACGUUGGGCACUAGGUGUGGGGCUCAUUCCACGAGUUCCGUGCCGCAGCUAACGCAUUAAGUGCCCCGCCUGGGGAGUACGGCCGCAAGGCUAAAACUCAAAGGAAUUGACGGGGGCCCGCACAAGCGGCGGAGCAUGCGGAUUAAUUCGAUGCAACGCGAAGAACCUUACCAAGGCUUGACAUACACCGGAAACAGCCAGAGAUGGUUGCCCCGUAAGGUCGGUGUACAGGUGGUGCAUGGUUGUCGUCAGCUCGUGUCGUGAGAUGUUGGGUUAAGUCCCGCAACGAGCGCAACCCUCGUCCCAUGUUGCCAGCGGGUUAUGCCGGGGACUCAUGGGAGACUGCCGGGGUCAACUCGGAGGAAGGUGGGGAUGACGUCAAAUCAUCAUGCCCCUUAUGUCUUGGGCUUCACGCAUGCUACAAUGGCCGGUACAAAGGGGUGCGAUACCGUAAGGUGGAGCGAAUCCCAAAAAGCCGGUCUCAGUUCGGAUUGGGGUCUGCAACUCGACCCCAUGAAGUCGGAGUCGCUAGUAAUCGCAGAUCAGCAACGCUGCGGUGAAUACGUUCCCGGGCCUUGUACACACCGCCCGUCAAGUCACGAAAGUCGGUAACACC
rnacentral:rRNA from 1 species